CCUACGGGUGACAGCAGUGGGGAAUAUUGGACAAUGGGGGGAACCCUGAUCCAGCGACGCCGCGUGAGUGAAGAAGUAUUUCGGUAUGUAAAGCUCUAUCAGCAGGGAAGAAAGAAAUGACGGUACCUGACUAAGAAGCCCCGGCUAACUAUGUGCCAGCAGCCGCGGUAAUACGUAGGGGGCAAGCGUUAUCCGGCUUUACUGGGUGUAAGGGGAGCGUAGACGGCGAUGCAAGUCUGAAGUGAAAGGCGGGGGCCCAACCCCCGGACUGCUUUGGAAACUGUAUGGCUGGAGUGCAGGAGAGGUAAGUGGAAUUCCUAGUGUAGCGAUGAAAUGCGUAGAUAUUAGGAGGAACACCAGUGGCGAAGGCGGCUUACUGGACUGUAACUGACGUUGAGGCUCGAAAGCGUGGGGAGCAAACAGGAUUAGAUACCCCUGUAGUC
rnacentral:rRNA from 1 species